UACGGAGGGGGUUAGCGUUGUUCGGAAUGACUGGGCGUAAAGCGCGCGUAGGCGGGCUGGAAAGUUGGGGGGUGAAAUCCCGGGGCUCAACCCCGGAAUGGCCUUCAAAACUCCCAGCCUAGAGUUCGAGAGAGGUGAGUGGAAUUCCGAGUGUAGAGGUGAAAUUCGUAGAUAUUAGCUAGAACACCAGUGGCGAAGGCGGCCAACUGGUCCGGUACUGACGCUGGAGGUGACGAAAGCGGUGGGGAGCAAACAGGG
rnacentral:rRNA from 1 species